AGAGUUUGAUCCUGGCUCAGGGUGAACGCUGGCGGCAUGUUUAAGGCAUGCAAGUUGAAUGUUGUUUUUAACAACAUGGCAAACGGGAGAGUAACACAUUGGUAAUCUACCUCUAUCUUGGGCAUAAUUCAGAGAAAUUUGAAAUAAUUCCCAAUAAUUAUAAAAUAACAUAAGUUAUAUUAUAUAAAGUUCUGGCGGAUAGAGAGGAGCCUAUGGCUCAUCAGCUUGUUGGUAAGGUAAAAGCUUACCAAGGCAAUGACGAGUAUCGGGUGUGAGAGCAUGAUCCGACUCACUGGGACUGAGACACUGCCCAGACUCCUACGGGAGGCUGCAGUCAAGAAUCUUCCUCAAUGGACGAAAGUCUGAAGGAGCAAUGCCGCGUGGUAGAUGAAGCUCUUAGGAGUGUAAAUACCUUUUAUCAGGGAAGAAUUUGUGACGGUACCUGAUGAAUAAGUCACUGCUAACUUCGUGCCAGCAGCAGCGGUAAUACGAAGGUGGCAAGCGUUACCCGGAUUAAUUGGGCGUAAAGCGUCCGCAGACGGUUUUAAAAGUUUUUAGUUAAAUCUUGAGGCUUAACCUCAAGACCGCUGAAAAUACUUUAAAACUAGAGGAUGGGAGAGGCAAACGGAAUUGCUGGUGUAGUAGUAAAAUGCGUUAAUAUCAGCAGGAACACCAAAAGCGAAGGCAGUUUGCUAGAACAAUCCUGACGUUCAGGGACGAAAGCGUGGGUAGCGAAUGGGAUUAGAUACCCCAGUAGUCCACGCCGUAAAUGUUGGAUACUAGAUAUUGGAAGUAUCGACCCUUUCAGUGUCGUUUACCGAAGUUAACACCUUAAGUAUCCCGCCUGGGGAGUACGGCCGCAAGGCUAAAACUCAAAGGAAUUGACGGGAACCCGCACAAGCGGUGGAGCAUGUGGUUUAAUUCGACGAUAAGCGAAAAACCUUACCAAGGCUUGACAUAUACCUGCACAUCCUAAGAAAUUAGGACUCUUUCGAAGGUGGUAUACAGGUGCUGCAUGGUUGUCGUCAGCUCGUGUCGUGAGAUGUUAGGUUAAGUCCUUUAACGAGCGCAACCCUUAUCCUAUGUUGUAUAUCAUAGGAGACUGCCCUGGUUUAACAGGGAGGAAGGUGAGGAUGACGUCAAAUCAGCAUGGCUCUUACGCCUUGGGCAACACACGUGCUACAAUGGUCAGUACAAUAGGUCGCAAAACCGCAAGGUGAAGCUAAUCCUAAUAAAACUGAUCUAAGUUCGGAUUGAGGUCUGCAACUCGACCUCAUGAAGUUGGAAUCGCUAGUAAACGCUGAUCAGCUAUGCAGCGUUGAAUACGUUCUCGGGUUUUGUACACACCGCCCGUCACACCAAGAGAGUCGAUGGCACCCAAAGGCUGACAUUAGUCGGACUAAGGUGAAAUUGAUGAUAGGGGUGAAGUCGUAACAAGGCAUCCGUAGCGGAAGCUGUGGAUA
rnacentral:rRNA from 1 species